UACGAAGGGGGCUAGCGUUGCUCGGAAUCACUGGGCGUAAAGGGUGCGUAGGCGGGUCUUUAAGUCAGGGGUGAAAUCCUGGAGCUCAACUCCAGAACUGCCUUUGAUACUGAAGAUCUUGAGUUCGGGAGAGGUGAGUGGAACUGCGAGUGUAGAGGUGAAAUUCGUAAAUAUUCGUCAAGAACACCAGUGGCGAAGGCGGCUCACUGGCCCGAUACUGACGCUGAGGCACGAAAGCGUGGGGAGCAACAGG
rnacentral:rRNA from 1 species